AUCAAGACGAGCAGUAGCCUCUGCCUUCUGGUUUACUUGGAACAAGACGGAAGAGAGUCACUCUUACCGUCGUGCAUACCUUAAGCGGGUCUGCCGCCUUCGUUUCUCUUUCUUCGCGAAUGACUUUGACUUGCGCUCGCGCGCCGCAUCGCACCCUUUGGGUGCUGGCGCUCCGCAAGGGCGCGGCACAAGCCGCAACGGCCGGCGGGCCUUGCGAGACUUGCGUCUCGGUGGCGAAAGCCCAUUUACGGGGCAGUCUUGGGGCUUGUAGCUCAGUUGGUUAGAGCGCGCGCUUGAUAAGCGUGAGGUCGGAGGUUCAAGUCCUCCCAGGCCCACCAAUUCCUCGACAAAAGGUAUCAGAGGCCGUACCUCAGCUGGCAAAGCGCCUGAUCAGCAAGCAGGAGGUCGUCGGUUGCAUCCCGUCCGGCUCCACCAUUGCCGCGCAAUCCGCAGGAUUGUCUCUGGGCAAUAAACAGGUUUGUCGCUUCUUCUCAGGAAGAAAGGGUGUAGACAGGAUGUGGAAGAGGGCUGAGAAAAAGUCAUUCGUAUAAAGGUUUGCGGCGAGCUUCUUGGCUCUCCGCCUGUUCUGUAAGACAUCGAAAAGAGAAGAGUUGUUCGAACUUCAUAGCCCCCAGGGUGUGAUUUGUCGCGGGAGACGCUCAAUCUCCCCCUUAUGAUGGGUUUGCCUAACCGCACCCUCGAACCGAUCUCGAGAAGCUGGUCUUUUUGUGCCAAUGCCAUCAAGCCAAGUCCUGCACAGGAUUUGGCUGAAGCGACGAUCUCUUCGAGAUCGCGCUGGGCGACGAUCUCUUCGAGAUCGCGCGGUGGGUAUUGGCAAUGAGAACGAUCAAGUGUCUUAAGGGCAAUUGGUGGAUGCCUUGGCAUGCACAGGCGAUGAAGGACGUGAUACGCUGCGAUAAGCUACGCGG
rnacentral:misc_RNA from 1 species